ensembl:lncRNA
ACCAUGCUCUUUUAAUAAUCUUCCCAUUAGGGAAUCCAACUACUGAAGAAGGAUAUAACCUUGAGAGAUUUAACCAAUCCUUGAAUCUAGUAUUCAUAAUGUGUCAUCUGAUCAUAGAAAAAAAAUAUUAUCAGACUGCACUGAUAAAUAGUGGCUUGACCCUGAAGUCUUCCUCUGGCAUAAGUACAAACUUAGGAUGUCCUGGAAGCUGAAACUCUAACUCAAAUAUAAGCAAUGCAGAGUGUUCAUUAAGGAUGUUUCAUCUGAAAGAAACAUGCUAGCAGUCUAACAUCACAUUCCUGUAUCAAUCAUAACACAAAACGCAGAACGAAAAGUCUUCCAUCCUCCGAAUUCCUCCCACUUCUCCCCAAGUUACAUCUUCUAGCAGCUCACCCCUGUGAAGAGGAACUUUGUUAGUGUUUUCCAGUAAAUGAAUGAGGAAUUACUGAAAUAGUCCUGAAAUUGGUCUUAUGCUUGAGCCUGCUUUCUUUUCCUCCAGCAUUUCUGGUUGAAUCUCGUUCCACAGAUUUUCCUGCAGUCUCUUCAACUUCAGACAAGGCCUUUGCUGAGCUCACUCCAAGAAUUUCUCUUCAUUUCUGCAGGGAAAUAACCUAAGGCGCCACAAUAUUACCUAUCAGGGCAGCAUAGCAGAGCUGAAAUCUCUGUGAAGAAGAGGAUUUACCCUAAGGAGAAGAGAAAAUGGAGUCAGAAGUCAGAGUGAAGGAAAGCAUUGAAAGUGAGUGACAACAGAAAACAGUAACUUUCAUCAAAUUGCUUUUGCAUCUGGCGCCUGUCUUCUACGUUGCCAAAUAUAUGCACUCCUGCAUGAUGGAGCGUGGGAGGGCUGUGAUUAGUCUCAGGAAGAGAGGGGCAGAUGUCGGACAUUCUGCAGCAUUCAACACAAGUGAACAGCAUUUAGAAAAACAAGACACUUAUGUUGCCCCAGGAGAGCUCAUCUUUCAAGAAAAUAUGAACCACUGAAUUUUGUAGGGGUGCACGGAUCCAAGCUGCUAGACACUGGAGCAAGUUUCAUACAAGCGUGUCUGAGCUUCAGCAUUGUAUAGCAGAAGUUUUCUUCAGAAGGAGCCCAAGAAGAGUAUAUCCUCAACCUACACCUUUUUUUAGUUUGAAUUUCCUACGCUAUCUUUGAGAUGCCUUCAGCCAGAUGACUUCUCACUUCCACUAACCCUUUUUAUAGUUAAGUGACUGUAUGAGGUUUCACAGUACUACUCUAGAGGCUUACAAGUCAGUCUCAUGAGUUCGCCUACAGCUCCAGUUCUCUUGUAGCAAUCAUUUACUUCCAGAUUGGAAGAUCCAUACAAAAUGGAAAGUAUGUAUAGUAUGGAAAGUGGCUUGAGGAUGUGUUCAAUGACCAGCCUUCAAUAUAACUAAUCUUAUAAAAGGAAAUCUCAUCAGCAAGAUGUAUAAAAUGCUGGUGGGGAUUAACUACAAUAUCGAACCUAAGAAGAACUCAUAACUGUUGGAAGUAAUAACAACAGGGCUAUCGUUUGCAUAUUCUUUGCCAUACAACACACCAGUUGACAAACCCCCCUAAUAAAAGGCUCAGACCAAUUGGAGGAGAGGCAGUAACAAUCCAUACUGAUCUGACUGAAAUUUUUGUAAAUAGAUUAAGCAAUACAGGACACCAGAGAAAUGACUGAAAUAUUGCUAAAUGCCCCCUGAAAGUCAUUUAGCUUAGGCUCUGGUUGCAAACAAACUGGAUUAUGGAAGUGCUGUCAUCAAGAAAGAUUAUAUUAUGUUCAUACAGAUUUAUCAGGUGCAAUCAAGUCAAUCUCUAUUCAGGGAGAAACAAAGCACUCUGUUAAAAAUAAGUCCAUAUCAUAACAUUGUCCAGGGAAUAUUAUGGUUGAUAGUGAAUGUGAGCUGAAAAAAAUUCUCAGUCAUCUCUCUUAUUCACAGUAAAAAAAGAACGAACACUUUCUAAACAGUUGAGAUUCAUUGUUAGAUAGCAAGCCAUGAAAAUUGUAUGUCAGUAAGCAUUUUUUUCCCCCACGCAGAGUUUAGUUAAGAAAUGUAACAUACAGGGUAGUGUCUUUCUGCCAUAUAUUCAGUGCUUCUUGCUUAAGACAGGGAUCAACCUUCGCAUACGAUCCUGCAAAUAACACACAGCUGGAAAUCCAGAAAUGAAUGUAUGUCAUGCAACACCUACUGAUUAUCAAAAGGCUUGACUGUGGACUUCCAAGGAGCCACACUGAGACCUUGCAAGAUCUGACAGCUCUUCUUUCUAUGUUUCUAACACCUCAUUUGAACAUUUAAGCAAGUUUUAGCAACUGGGAUCAUCUGUCCAGCCUAUCCACUCAUCCCAUGUGCCUGUAAUCUGUCAUAAAUUCAGGUUUCAUUAUUGGCAGAAUUUAUGAGCUGGGAUUAUGUUGUCUUUGUAGAAGAGACUAGUAUGAUAACAAAGGAAUGGUUUUCUGAGACAAUAAAACUCUAAAAGUCACUCUAGAGACGUUUUGGAAAAUAAGAUCAAAGUUCUUUGAAAAUAAUCCCAUAAAACUACUGCAACUAAUACUACUUUAAGUAUCUGGUUUGCAAAGACAUUUGAGCAGUACACUGACAAACAUUGCAGUCCAUUUUCAAAUUGAUUUAGACACCAAAGGCAAAAGCUACAAACAAAAGUGGUAACUUGUGGUCCUCAGCAAGGGGAAGAGGGAUGAGGUCCUCAGAAAAGUGACCUGAAACCAAAUCUUUCCUACAACAGGAAGGCACUCCAACUUCCUUACUAUUCACAGGAUACAGGUGUUUAUCUGCUCUGCUUUCGGCCUCCUGGAUCUCAAGUUUUUUUUUUUUUUUUUUUUUAAAGAUGAAAUCUGGUAAGAGUGGUCUGAGAAAGAAAAAACAGUUUGGACCAUCCAGGUCUUUUUUGAAUCCUGAUGUAGUCUAAACGUGAGUUAGCUACAUUGUCCCACAAUUACCAAAGGUUUAGGAUGCUUUCCUCUUGUAGAGAAACAGAUAUAAAAUUGUGUGGAUUUGGAGAUGCUGACUAGGCACAUUUGUUCUCCUGUAGGUCUCAUUCUUAGUUUCAUUGAAUACAAGUGGGCUUACUCUUCUUCAUGACCAAGCCAUGACUAAAAGUGAUUCUUGGCCAUCCAAAAAACUUUGACCUUGUAAUACUAGGAUAACUCAGAGCAUCUUCAUACUUGCUCAGAUGAAUCAUUUCUUCUAAUUGCUGAAAAGGAGUUUUGGGGAGAGGAACAAGGCUAGAAAAUGUUACGCAGUUUCAUUCUCCCAUACUGCAGCAGCUGACAUAGACUUUAUCAUGUUUCCUUUCCCCACAUAUUCCCUCUCCCCUCACAGCUUCAAGUGAAGCAGAAAAAAUUCCUCUGCCUACCUCCAUUUCUCCCUCCUUCUCCUGCACCACACAGUGUUACUGCUAAUCAGCAACAUUUUCUUUGGCUGACAGCUCAACCCCACGUUGUCUCCUGAUCAAUGCUGAUACAGCACAUCCCAGCACACAGGAAAGGACAAAAGAAGGCAUAGAGGUCUGGGAGGGUAGUAAGAGUAACUGUGGGUUAUAUAUUGAGUUGUGCUAUGUGCACAUCUAUGUGGACACUUGGUAUGCCCAUGCCUUCAGCACUGACGGUCAAAGAGCAUCCUGAAUGAGUGCCAUCCUGUUACUCUGGAUGAGUGGUUCAUGCUGUUCCAGUCCCAAGCAGAAGGAAUAAAACCUCAAGGUGGCUAUGCAAAGUGGUAUAGGGAUCAAAAAUGCAGACAGUGUGGGAAAUAAUUAUAUCCAGUUUGUUAUGUAGUCACCAUCACCUUUCAGGUAGGUCUUUCCAGGGUGUUCUCCCAGUGUAGCUGAAGAAAAAGGACACUAUUCUCUUUUCCAUUACCCCCCAACCAAGGUGCGUGACUACUGACCAAAAGUGAAAUCAGGAAUGCUGUGGGCAAAAGGCAUUUUAGUUUCACACCUUAAACAUGAGACAGGGAAUGAGCAGAAUAAAUGUAAGUUCUUCCUUCAUGUCAGAACUCACAGAGGAAGCAGCUGUAGGAACAGUGAUACUCUCCCAGCAUGUGAGUGGGAAAGGCAGAAAAGGUUGGGAUUAAAGCCCCAGUUCUUGCACCUUGUAUAGAGAAGCCUCCUCUAGCUCAUGUAAAGUAAUCCUGUGGUGACAAAGGCAGCCUGUGGUUGUUGAAAUCUGAGGCUCAGUAACACAGACAGAGCAGCAGCUCUUGGAACUACUGAUGCUGAAACUCCAGCCUCCACAGAAUCACAUAAUGGCCCAGAUUGGAAGGGACCUCAAGGAUCAUGAGCCACCCCUGCCACAGGCAGGGCCAACCAACCUCCACAUUUGAUACUAGACCAAGCUGCCCAAGGCCCUAUCCAACCUGGCCUUGAACACCUCUGGGGAUGGGGAAUCCAUAACCUCUCUGGGCAGCCUGUUCCACCACCUCACCACUCUCAUAUUAAAGAGCUUCCCCCUGACAUCCAAACUAAUUCUUCCCUCUUUCAACUUAAAACCAUUUCCCCUUGUCCUGCUGUUAUCUACCCUUUCAAAGAGUUGACUCCACUCCUGUUUAUAGGUUCCCUUUAGGUACUGAAAGGCUGCAGUGAGGUCACCCCCACAUCCUUCUUUUCUUCAGGCUGAACAAGCCCAGCUCCCUCAGCCUGUCUUCACCAGGGAGGUGCUCCAGCCCUCUGGUCAUCUUUCUGGCCCUUCUCUGGACCCUCCUCAACAGCUCUUUGUCUUUCUUGUAUUGGGGGCUACAGACCUGGAUGCAGUACUCAAGAUGGGGCCUCAUGAGGGCAGAGUAGAGAGGGACAAUCACCUCCCUGUCCUUGCUGGCCACCCCUCUUCUGGUGGAGCCCAGGAUACCAUUUGCUUUCUGAGCUGCAAGAGCACACUGCUGGCUCAUGUUCAGUUUUUCAUCCACCAGGACCCCCGGGUCCUUCUCUUCAGGGCUAGUCUCAAGGAAUGUUCCUUCCAGCCUGUAUAUAUGCUUGGGAUUCCUCUGACCCAAGUGAAAAACCUUGCACUUUGCUGUGUUGAACCUCAUUAAAUUCACCCAGGGCCCACCUUUUAAGUCCACUGAGGUACCUUUGAAUGACAUCCCUUCCUUCCACCGUGUCAACCACACCACUCCUCUUGGUGUCAUCAGUAAACUUGCUGAGGGUGCAGUCAAUUCCAUCAUUGGUGUCACUGAUAAAGAUGUUAAAGAACACAACCUCCUGCAGUUGCUGGCAAAGUUCGUCAUAUUCUAUGCUGGAUUUGGACAUAGAUCCUGAUAAUCUUGAAUGUUUUGAAAACUCCACAAGGAAGUAGCUCUGAUUUCAUAGCACCAGAAUUAAUUUUUUCUAACAUCACCUUUAAAAAUAUAUAUCAACAGCAAACAGCAACAAAGCUGGUUGACAGCGCAUAUGCCAUAGAUACAGAUGGAAAAAACAUAACAUUGUAGAGUGAAGAGAGUACACUUAAAGAAAAGUAGCAAUGGUUAUGAGUGCAUUUAAUAUUUGUGCAUUCACUGAAAUAGGGUUUAGUUCUGAUAAAUCUGAAGUUUAUCUUUAGGUUUGGAUGCUGAAUCAAUGCCAUCUAGUGGUGGUAGAUGUGUUCUGGUCUUAAAGUUCACAGCCAUUUUAACAUCACUGAAGUUCCACCUAAUUAACACUUUCUUGGUGUCUUUCAUACCCUUUUAAAACUAGUCUAAAUGUUCGAUCCAGAUUAAACAACUAAGAGCCACUGAUAUAUAUAAUGAUCGAUUAUUCAUUAAUUUACGAAUUCAAAAAUGUUCAAGUUUCUAUUAAUUCAAAUAACUGUAUCACAGAUGAAGGCUUUGUUCUGUUAAAGGCAGCAUUAAAUGACAACUUAUUUAAUCCUUCUAAUUUUUAAACGAACGUCUUUGCUUCACCAUAGAUUAAAGAGACAGAACCACUACACUAAAAAAGCCAUGUGAGUUUACCUAAAUAAAGGUAUUUCCUCACUGUGAGUUGCUUUUUAUUAGCUUUUAACUAGCUCCUAGUUUGCAGGUGUUUGUCAUCACACCUGGCCCCUCAGCAAUAAAUUCUUCUGAGACAACAAGAUCUGAGAAGAACGAGAGUUAACAUGUAGGAUUCAUUUCAAAGCUACACAGCAAGGCAAGGAAGUUCUGAGCCCUCUGUAGUCAUUUAUAUAAAAAAUAAGCUAUUUUGGUGGUCUGUUGUUUGCUUACAGAGUAUGGGCAGAAGUGAAAUGUCAGAAAUAAAUGUAAACUUAUCUCAUUACCCCUACAGGUUGGUAGUGGUGGUGGGCGUAAAUCAGGAGAUAAACACAGUUGUGAGCAUUAUACUUAUGGACCAUGCAACUAUUACAGCAGGAGUGCUGAAAGGGCAUCCUCUGGCCUAACUGAUCAUUUCCUUAAUAUAUUCCUUAUUCGAGGACUUUUAGUAGACUAUGCACAUUCAUAAACGUUUGGUAUUCUGUUGAGUGCUCUGUAUCAAAAUGCAUAUCUCAGAUAUGCUAUUUCUCUGAUUUAUUCCUGCUAUAAAUGCCGAUUUACAGCUUACCUGUAGGUGACAGAAGGACAGAUGAGUUGGAAGUUGCACUGAAAUGUGAAAUAGUUCUUUGCUGAGUAAGAAAACUUGGUAAAAAUUUGCAUAUCUUCUCAUUUGUGCCCAAAGGAAUUUCAACACAACUGAAGUUGAAAAAGCAUAAGAUUCUGUGGGCAGGAGCCCCAGAAAAAUUGCAGUGAGAGGAUCCUUUGCUUUGUGUUUAUGUCUUCUUCUGUUACAUUGUCCUCUUUGUAUGUUUAUUCCUAUUCUUUUUCUCUUAUAUGUUUCAUGAGCUUCUUCAAAUAUGUCCUUUUAAAAAAAGUGAAAAUUCAGUCUUGUCUUGUAAUUAGUGCUGCUAUAGGAGAUUAGGCUUUGAGAAGUUAGCUGCUGCUAGGAGGCACUGCCAGCUUUUUUCCCUUUAUGAGAAGUCCUUUGGGACUUUAUGGAAAAAAAAAAAAAAAAGCCAGACAGCGCAACUACAGGUUCUUAUAUCAGCUCUAACAUGUUUUUUACAAGUGGACAAAAAUCAAUGAAUACAAAAUCUUCUAAGACAUUUGCAAAAGCAAAGAAUAUUUAUCUAAACAGUACAUGAAAAACAAAGAAAGAGCAUCUGCAGUUGUAUUUAUAUAAUAUCACAUUAUGUUAUAUAUAUAUAUAUUAUAAUGCAACGUGCAACCUGUAACAGACAGGAAUCACAUACAAUUCUUGUUUCCUUUCCAAACGAUUGUUGUUUAUUCUGUUCCUUACAG